GACGAACGCUGGCGGCGUGCUUAACACAUGCAAGUCGAACGGAAAGGCCCUGCUUUUGUGGGGUGCUCGAGUGGCGAACGGGUGAGUAACACGUGAGUAACCUGCCCUUGACUUUGGGAUAACUUCAGGAAACUGGGGCUAAUACCGGAUAGGAGCUCCUGCUGCAUGGUGGGGGUUGGAAAGUUUCGGCGGUUGGGGAUGGACUCGCGGCUUAUCAGCUUGUUGGUGGGGUAGUGGCUUACCAAGGCUUUGACGGGUAGCCGGCCUGAGAGGGUGACCGGCCACAUUGGGACUGAGAUACGGCCCAGACUCCUACGGGAGGCAGCAGUGGGGAAUAUUGCACAAUGGGCGGAAGCCUGAUGCAGCAACGCCGCGUGCGGGAUGACGGCCUUCGGGUUGUAAACCGCUUUCGCCUGUGACGAAGCGUGAGUGACGGUAAUGGGUAAAGAAGCACCGGCUAACUACGUGCCAGCAGCCGCGGUGAUACGUAGGGUGCGAGCGUUGUCCGGAUUUAUUGGGCGUAAAGGGCUCGUAGGUGGUUGAUCGCGUCGGAAGUGUAAUCUUGGGGCUUAACCCUGAGCGUGCUUUCGAUACGGGUUGACUUGAGGAAGGUAGGGGAGAAUGGAAUUCCUGGUGGAGCGGUGGAAUGCGCAGAUAUCAGAGGAACACCAGUGGCGAAGGCGGUUCUCUGGGCCUUUCCUGACGCUGAGGAGCGAAAGCGUGGGGAGCGAACAGGCUUAGAUACCCUGGUAGUCCACGCUGUAAACGGUGGGUACUAGGUGUGGGGUCCAUUCCACGGGUUCCGUGCCGUAGCUAACGCUUUAAGUACCCCGCCUGGGAGUACGGCCGCAAGGCUAAAACUCAAAGGAAUUGACGGGGCCCCGCACAAGCGGCGGAGCAUGCGGAUUAAUUCGAUGCAACGCGUAGAACCUUACCUGGGUUUGACAUGGAUCGGGAGUGCUCAGAGAUGGGUGUGCCUCUUUUGGGGUCGGUUCACAGGUGGUGCAUGGCUGUCGUCAGCUCGUGUCGUGAGAUGUUGGGUUAAGUCCCGCAACGAGCGCAACCCUUGUUCACUGUUGCCAGCACGUUAUGGUGGGGACUCAGUGGAGACCGCCGGGGUCAACUCGGAGGAAGGUGGGGAUGACGUCAAGUCAUCAUGCCCCUUAUGUCCAGGGCUUCACGCAUGCUACAAUGGCUGGUACAGAGAGUGGCGAGCCUGUGAGGGUGAGCGAAUCUCGGAAAGCCGGUCUCAGUUCGGAUUGGGGUCUGCAACUCGACCUCAUGAAGUCGGAGUCGCUAGUAAUCGCAGAUCAGCAACGCUGCGGUGAAUACGUUCCCGGGGCU
rnacentral:rRNA from 1 species